rnacentral:rRNA from 1 species
AUUGAACGCUGGCGGCAGGCCUAACACAUGCAAGUCGAACGAGUGGCGGACGGGUGAGUAAUGUCUGGGAAACUGCCCGAUGGAGGGGGAUAACUACUGGAAACAGUAGCUAAUACCGCAUACCAUCGGAUGUGCCCAGAUGUGAUUAGCUAGUAGGUGGGGUAACGGCUCACCUAGGCGACGAUCCCUAGCUGGUCUGAGAGGAUGACCGGCCACACUGGAACUGUGACCCGGUCCAACAUCCUACGGAAGGCAGCAGUAGGGAAUAUUGCACAAUGGACGCAAGCCUGAUGCAGCCAUGCCUCGUGUAUGAAGAAGGCCUUCGGGUUGUAAAGUACUUUCAGCGAGGAGGCGUUACUCGCAGAAGAAGCACCGGCUAACUCCGUGCCAGCCGCCGCGGUAAUAC